rnacentral:rRNA from 1 species
UACAGAGGUCCCAAGCGUUGUUCGGAUUCACUGGGCGUAAAGGGUGCGUAGGUGGCCGGUUAAGUCUGACGUGAAAUCUCCGAGCCUAACUCGGAAACUGCAUCGGAAACUAUCCGGCUCGAGGGUUGGAGGGGGGACUGGAAUACCUGGUGUAGCAGUGAAAUGCGUAGAUAUCAAGUGGAACACCAGUGGCGAAGGCGAGUCCCUGGACAACUCCUGACACUGAGGCACGAAAGCUAGGGGAGCAAACAGG